CGGGAUUGGGAUUGCUAUGGAAAUUUUAUUUGAGGCCCAAUAGUGGCCCAUAGCGGGAAAUUAGAGAGAAAUUCACUGGCGGAGUACUGCACCAGGUCGCUGCUCCACCGUCGGAACCUCCGUCUCCGUCGUCGACACUCUCUUCUGAUGUGGAAGCUCAUCUUCUGUCCUCCGGUCCUCGCGCCGUUCAAAUUCAACGUUACUAUGCGAAGAGUGGGUGCAGAGACUAGCAAAUCAAAGUUCGUCACAGGUCAGCAGGAUGUUAUUAUGAAAUUAUGAGUUUUAGAGUGUAGUGAAAUUGCUAUGGCUUCUUCCACGGACGAAUGUGUAUUUGUAGAGGUAGCAAUAAGAGGAAGAAGGGUCAAAAUUGAAUCCCUGAUCUGUGUAAACUGCAUCAUGGAGCUCUCAGUGAAACUUUGCCAUCUUCACUAUUUUAGCUACACUGGGAAAUGACGGUUAGGGAGGUGUCCUCUCAAUAUGAAACAUUUAUGUUUUCUUAUGUUUAAGAUUUUCCUAUAUAAACUGAUUUGUCAAGAUGAAUAAUAGGUUGGUGCUCUAUUAUAAGAUCAAAGAAUUAAAUGUGUUGCUUGGCACUUGAUAUAUUUUUAUUUCUGUGCUGUUAAUGAUAUCAUACCUCACCAGUGUUCAAAGAAUUAUGAAAUUUAUUUACCACUCGAGAUUAAUAAUUGUCCUUGUUCUAGAGUUCUGCCUUACAGUAAGGAAUAAGCUGUAAUCUCAGGUAAGGUCAGUAAAUAACUUAUAAGCUUUUUUACUAUACCGUCAGUUACUUCUAUGUGUAUAAGGAGAAGAACAUGUUGACGGGUUUUGAAUUCAAGAGGCAUAUAAUCGCUAUUGAUUUUAUGUGCACGAAUGGCGUAAUAAAUUGACUAGAGAAAAGAACAUUUAAAGUCGUCUGAACUCUCUUUCACUUGUACGGACAGUUAUAUGAUAUGAUGUUAAAAUUUACUUCACCCUUUAGUUUAAGCUUUUGUCCCUCCAAUUAAUAUUGAAUUUCAUUUUUUAGGUCUUUGUUAGGAACCAAGAUAGCAUGGAUGCUUUUGUCCCACGUUGAUUAGAACCUAACGGUAUUCCUCAUAUUUCAACUCACUCAAAAGUGAGGGGAGUGUUAGAUGAUGUCAUAUUAAACUUGCCUUCACUCAUUAAGUUUUUAAGUUAAUCGGUGAUUUAAGAUCAUUCUUAAAAUUUUGAUGGGCUAAAUUCUUGGUCUCGGAGUGCCAGAUGUCUGAGUUGAAUAGCUGAUUUCUUGAAACAUGUCCUGAAAAAUGUUCUAUCUCACAAAUCAUACCGGGCUGAUCAAAUAAUUAUUGUUAUAUCACUGUUUUAGUGCACUUUUCAAGUGUUGCAAUUAAUAGUUAAAAGCGUUACACCGUUCUUCCAUGUAGUUAUCAAUGUGAUCAGCUACUGCUCGUGCCUAAUUUAUGGAUGUCCAUCUCCUUGCAGUGUAGAAAUAAAAAGUUAAAUCAGUUGAUGUUGGAAGAAUUUAUUGGAGCUAAGCAUCCAGAUACCUAAGAAGAACCUGGUUUACAUCCCAAUAUAUAGUUGUGGGUGUGAAACCGACCAUUUGAAAGACAAGUGCCAUUGAAGAGUUAGAGAAAAGGUUGAAGAAAAGCAAGGGCAUCCCCUGCAGAUAGCAGUUUUGUGAUAUUUUGUCAACAGUCAACAAAGACCGAUAAAGUGAACUUUUUCUUCUUUCUGAAGAAAGUAUUAUAUAAAAGUGAGAUUGAAAGUGAGCUAUCCAGGAUAAACAGAAAAGACAUGGAGCUCGUCCAAGAAAGAAAGCAAAUCUGAUUAACUUCAGAAGACGCUUGACGAGCAAUGUGAUGAGCAUUGAGGUUGCUCAACCUUGGACAAUUGGUGAACGUUUGAAAUCUUCAUAAGAUCACUUGACACGUUUAAGCAAAUAAAUCCUUGUGGAUAAGAGUUAAGUGACUCAACUGAUCCUUUUGCUUUAUUCUUGUAGAAAGGAAUAUCAUUGCUUUAUCUCCAUGAAUAUACACACAAUAAUUGUAAAUAUCAUUGCCCAAGCA